CCUUCAUUUUUAAAGCUUAUUGAUGAAGAUGACCCGAUAUUUUUGGUGAAGAGCUUCUUUCAGACUCCUUCCCCUACAAGGAACUAUUGAAUGGGUUCCUAUGAGAAGUUGAAGAAAAUGUAUAUCUUGCACUGUUUUUUAUGGAUAAUGAAAACAACGUUCCUUCGUUAUUAAAGUCGAUUGAGGACUAUGAUCCUAUAUUUUUCGAAUUGUUCGUCGACCAAAAACAGUUAUGAAUCAUGAAAACAACGCUCCUUCGUUGUUAAAGUUGAUUGGGGACUAUGAUCCUAUAUUUUUGGUGUUUAUUUUGGAUGGUCCGGAGUUUUUGGCUGCAACUAUGUUGGACAGAGAUAUGCUUGCUAUUGCUAUAAAUUGGUACCAUGUCGGUUG